rnacentral:rRNA from 4 species
GGGUUGUGAGGUUAAGCGACUAAGCGUACACGGUGGAUGCCCUGGCAGUCAGAGGCGAUGAAGGACGUGCUAAUCUGCGAUAAGCGCCGGUAAGGUGAUAUGAACCGUUAUAACCGGCGAUUUCCGAAUGGGGAAACCCAGUGUGACUCGUCACACUAU